GCUGGGUGUGGUGGUGCGCACCUGUAAUCCUGGUACUCAGGAGGCUGAGGAAGGAGGAUUUAAGUAAGCAAGCAAUUUAAAAAUUAAGUAAGUUUACUUAC
rnacentral:sRNA from 1 species